CCUACGGGAGGCAGCAGUAGGGAAUCUUUCACAAUGGGCGAAAGCCUGAUGGAGCAACGCCGCGUGCAGGAUGACGGCCUUCGGGUUGGACACUGCUUUUAUACGCGGGACAUCUGAUGGUCACUUAUGAGUAAGGAUCGGCUAACUACGUGCCAGCAGCCGCAGUCAUACGUAGGAUCCGAGCAUUAUCCGGAGUGACUGGGGGUAAAGAGUUGCGUAGGUGGCAUAAUAAAUAGCUAGUGAAAUCUGGUGGCGCAAACAUUCAGUCUAUUAGCUAAACUGUUAAGCUCGAGAACGUUAGGAGUAAGUGGAAUGUGUGGUGUAGGGGUGAAAUCCGUAGAUAUCA
rnacentral:rRNA from 1 species